rnacentral:rRNA from 1 species
CGCCCUUUGAGUUUGAUCCUGGCUCAGAUUGAACGCUGGCGGUAUGCUUAACACAUGCAAGUCGAACGGUAACAGAGGAAAGCUUGCUUUCUUGCUGACGAGUGGCGGACGGGUGAGUAACGCGUGGGAAUCUACCUAGUAGUGGGGGAUAGCCCAGAGAAAUUUGGAUUAAUACCGCAUACACUCUACGGAGAAAAGCAGGGGAUCUUCGGACCUUGCGCUAUUAGAUGAGCCUGCGUGAGAUUAGCUAGUUGGUGAGGUAAAGGCUCACCAAGGCGACGAUCUCUAGCUGGUCUGAGAGGAUGAUCAGCCACACUGGGACUGAGACACGGUCCAGACUCCUACGGGAGGCAGCAGUGGGGAAUAUUGCGCAAUGGGGGCAACCCUGAUCCAGCCAUACCGCGUGUGUGAAGAAGGCUUUCGGGUUGUAAAGCACUUUCAGUAGGGAGGAAAAGAUAGUCCUUAAUACGGGCUAUCCGUGACGUUACCUACAGAAGAAGGACCGGCUAACUCCGUGCCAGCAGCCGCGGUAAUACGGAGGGUCCGAGCGUUAAUCGGAAUUACUGGGCGUAAAGCGCACGCAGGCGGUUUGUUAAGCUAGAUGUGAAAGCCCGGGCUCAACCUGGGAAUAGCAUUUAGAACUGGCAGGCUAGAGUCUUGGAGAGGGGAGUGGAAUUUCUGGUGUAGCGGUGAAAUGCGUAGAUAUCAGAAGGAACAUCAGUGGCGAAGGCGACUCCCUGGCCAAAGACUGACGCUCAUGUGCGAAAGUGUGGGUAGCGAACAGGAUUAGAUACCCUGGUAGUCCACACCGUAAACGCUGUCUACUAGCUGUUUGUGGAUUUAAUCCGUGAGUAGCGAAGCUAACGCGAUAAGUAGACCGCCUGGGGAGUACGGCCGCAAGGUUAAAACUCAAAUGAAUUGACGGGGGCCCGCACAAGCGGUGGAGCAUGUGGUUUAAUUCGAUGCAACGCGAAGAACCUUACCUACUCUUGACAUCCAGAAGAUUUAGCAGAGAUGCUUUAGUGCCUUCGGGAAUUCUGAGACAGGUGCCGCAUGGCUGUCGUCAGCUCGUCUCGUGAGAUGUUGGGUUAAGUCCCGCAACGAGCGCAACCCUUACCCUUAGUUGCCAGCGGUUCGGCCGGGGACUCUAGGGAAACUGCCCGUGAUAAGCGGGAGGAAGGUGUGGAUGACGUCAAGUCCUCAUGGCCCUUACGGGUUGGGCUACACACGUGCUACAAUGGCAGUGACAAUGGGUUAAUCCCAAAAAGCUGUCUCAGUUCGGAUUGGGGUCUGCAACUCGACCCCAUGAAGUCGGAAUCGCUAGUAAUCGCGUAACAGCAUGACGCGGUGAAUACGUUCCCGGGCCUUGUACACACCGCCCGUCACACCAUGGGAGUUGGGUCUACCCGAAGGUGCUAGCUUAACCUUCGGGAGGGCGGUUACACGGUGGGGUUCAUGACUGGGGUGAAGUCGUAACAAGGUAAC